AACGAACGCUGGCGGCAUGCCUAACACAUGCAAGUCGAACGAGACCUUCGGGUCUAGUGGCGCACGGGUGCGUAACGCGUGGGAACCUGCCCUUAGGUUCGGAAUAACUCCCCGAAAGGGGUGCUAAUACCGGAUAAUGUCUUCGGACCAAAGAUUUAUCGCCUUUGGAUGGGCCCGCGUUGGAUUAGCUAGUUGGUAGGGUAAAAGCCUACCAAGGCGACGAUACAUAGCUGGUCUGAGAGGAUGAUCAGCCACACUGGGACUGAGACACGGCCCAGACUCCUACGGGAGGCAGCAGUGGGGAAUAUUGGACAAUGGGCGAAAGCCUGAUCCAGCAAUGCCGCGUGAGUGAUGAAGGCCUUAGGGUUGUAAAGCUCUUUUACCCGGGAUGAUAAUGACAGUACCGGGAGAAUAAGCUCCGGCUAACUCCGUG
rnacentral:rRNA from 1 species